rnacentral:rRNA from 1 species
UACGUAGGGUGCAAGCGUUAAUCGGAAUUACUGGGCGUAAAGCGUGCGCAGGCGGUUUUGUAAGUCUGUCGUGAAAUCCCCGGGCUCAACCUGGGAAUUGCGAUGGAGACUGCAAGGCUAGAAUCUGGCAGAGGGGGGUAGAAUUCCACGUGCAGCAGUGAAAUGCGUAGAGAUGUGGAGGAACACCGAUGGCGAAGGCAGCCCCCUGGGUCAAGAUUGACGCUACAUGCACGAA